rnacentral:lncRNA from 11 species
CAAAUCUAUUAAAAGUACCCUUUAGUACUGAUUGGCUAGCCCUUUCACAGAGACUGCUCCCGCUGGCCCUGUGGCUGGCAGGAAGGCGUGAGUCUGUUUAUAUAUAAGUGGAGAAUAUUUAUAAUGUGAUACAGGACAAAAGAAGGCCAACACCAGGACCACGAGCUGCCACAAACAACUUGCUUUUGAUUGAGUCUUUUGCUUUGGAUAUGUGCGACACUAACCCAGGAAUGCCACCUCAGCAACCCUGCUCCCCUGGGCCUAACCCACCACCCUACACAGAGCCUGGCAUAGAGCCAUACCCAUACGCAGGCAACCCUGGCCAGCAUCCCCCACCCACUGGAUAUCCUGUGCCAUGUGAGCCCCCUUGUCAUGGACAUCACCGUCGUGGGCACCGACACCAUAGACGCCACCACCAUGGGCCCCUCCACCGUGUGUUCCAUAUCCUUGGCCGCUGCCACCACCAUGAGCAUCAUUAGUAUGGACACAGUCAUCAUGAUAAAAACUCCAGUAGCAGUUAGGAUUCAAGAUGAAGAUGUCCUUUCCUGCUUGCAGGAGCAGCUCAGCUUUCCAGCACUUUAAGCUACCAUUAAAAUUACUCUGGAGUCUUUCU